rnacentral:lncRNA from 1 species
CUGAUACUGACAAUUUGAAAAUACUUGAGUUCAAAUUCAUCCAUAACGAACAACCAUUUCCUUCUCUCAUUAAUGACCACAUUAUAAUCAAUCCUAUCUUUGAUCCUGUAGUGGUCAGAGCAAAAAUGGAGACGGCUUUGUUGGGUGGAGGAGAAGGCAGCAGUGGCGACCAAAGAAGGGAUCGUAGGAACUUGUUUAACAGAACAGAUGCCAUUGCUUAUGGAUCAACAUACCAGAAGGCCGCUGCUUUGGUUGAUCUCGUAUGUUUCUUGUUUUUUUAUGUUAAGUUUCAUAAUAUUGAAUAAAAAUGUUGUAGCAGUAUAGUUUAGCUGGUAAUUCAAUGUGGGUAUGUCUGUACAUUGAAGAAUAUGAUGUUAAAGUUGAUGAAGAUAUAAUAGAUUCUGUUAAAGCGUCUAUUUUAAACGCAAUUGGUAUUGAAAAUGGGGAUUCCGACUUUACUGAAUUCUUGGAAAGUCUAUUAAGAAAAGUGGACGUGUGUAGGGAUAUUUUGAUCUUGAUAAUUUGCUUAAGAUAUGAAAUUUCUUUGAAUUACGAUUGGGUGAUGGUUUUUGCAAGUUGUACUUUUCACAUUUGUAAUGACGUGGGCACCUUAAGUUAGUAUGUUUGUGGUGGAUUAAUUACUUGGUAUCAAGAAUUUUUAUGAAGGAAAAGAUAGUCUGUGGUGGAAGGUUUUGGGUCCGUGGCAACUGGCAUUAGAGAACGACUUACUGUAAGUGUAGAAAUAGUGGAUAUUUCGAACUUACUGAAUAUAUUUCUUUCUGAAUAUAAUUCUUUUGUCAAUUCAAUUCACCACCUGGAUUUGUAAAUAGUGAAAGUGUUAUGGAUUCAAGUUAAGUUUUACUGGCCCCAGAAAAUGGGAACGUUUCUUAUAUUGGUGACCACAAAUAAACAUGAUUACACUCUAUUCAGCAUUUUUUACUGCAUCGUAGACCAAAAUUGUUCCUGAAGCCUUGCAUGGUUGACCGAACUCAUUUCAUUUGGUAUUGAAGUCACCUAUGAGGUGCUAUCCCUCAUCUGAACUCUGGAUGUGGAUUGUCAAUAGACUGGAUGCUACAAGAAUAGUACGUAUUUUUCUGUUUUUGUUUUUUGUUUUCUUUUUGGGGGGUGGGUGGGUGGUGUGAGGGGUUGAUAAGACCUUGCCUUCAUAACACCUGGACUCAUAUCAGUUUGGUGGUAACUACUACUUGGAUGCUCAAGCAUUUCCGGAUCAGUUGGCUUGUGCCAAUGCUAAGUAGAUUUCUGGGGCGUAAUUCCAACACUGGAAUAUCAAGGAAAUUAGAGGAUACCUUCAUGCGUAUUAAAGGAUGAGAAUGUCAUCAGUACAGUACCUUGGAUAGAGACAUAUUCCUGAAAAUAUCUGGAAUGCUUAUAGCAAUCUCUGCUUGCCCCCCCUUUAUAAUGAUUUGAAAUAUCUCUUGCAUUUGCAGGCUGAAGAUGGUGUUGGUAUACCUGAGGAAAUUCUUGAUAACUCGAGCUUUGCAAGUUCUCUGAAAUCCUACUUCAUAUUUAUUCGAUUUGACUUUCUCUGGUCUCUUAACUACUUUGCAUUAAUCAUUCUAAAUUUCUUUGAGGUUUGUGUAUCUUCCUAACUCCUAGUAUAUCUAUUUUUUCUCUUUUUUUGUUUGACAUUAAAUAAUUAUUUAUGAUUUAGAGAUAUUUUUUAUUAUUAUUAUUUUUUUUAAGUUCAAUAUUUGUUGGAAUUGAUACUUAAAACUACGUUUGGUUUACAUCCGCAGAAACCUCUAUGGUGUUCUGGGUAUUGCAAUAAUAGAGGUUACUACUUUCUCGGGCAGCUGCCAUACUUGACUGGUGCUGAGAGUCUUGUAUAUGAGGUAAGGUCGAAAUAGUACACCCAACAUCAUGGAUGAAUAUUUAUCUGAAUUUUGGCUAUUGCUAUAGUUGCCUUUCUUUGACCAUAACAAAUUGGAUUGAAGAAAAAAUAAGUUGUACUAAUUUUUCCUUUUUGGGGUUGGGGGCGGACAUAAGAUCCAGAAAUUUUGAUUUAAAUAUUUAAAAAUAUAUAACAAAACAAUCAUCUGUGAGGCUAAUAUAGAUAUUAGACGUGCUUGUGUUCAAAAAUCAUUUUAGCAGAAGAAAAAAUCUACAGUGGAUAACGAUUAACAAAGAUAGUGAAACGGUCGAACCAAAACUCCACAUCCUUAGAUUUUAUGCUUUUGAUGAGAAGAUGGAAUGAAAAGAAUGAGAAGUCUGUAAAAACAUGCCAGAUUCGGAAUGUCUUUUAAACAUUGGUAUGUAUUCUAUUGUACUAACAACUCUGGCAGUCAAUUAUUGGAUGCUCGCCUGCUAUAAAAGUUGCACAGAUCUCAGUUGUUUUAGGUCAAUGAUUGACACUUUUGGUUAGUGAUGAAUAAAUAUAAACUAAUUUUUGAUAGCCAAAAAAAGCUGAAUGGGCAGUUGCCGUGUACAAACUUAUUUAUCAAGCAGGAGUAAGAAAAAGAACAAGAAGUCCUUAAAAUGAAAAAUAUACAUAGGACACAAAAUUGAAUUUAAUGGCAGUCAACAAGGCAUGCAGUUUUUCUGGUGUUGUAUUAUCCAGUGUUACAAGAACCGGACCCCUGUCAGUUCAACCUGGAAAAAUGGGGGAACCGGUCUAGAAACAGAAAAUAUAAAAACUAAAAAAAUUCGUAACAUAAUCAAUGAUCUGACCGGUUCUGGUUCUCCUGAACACAAACCGGUUUUACCGGCUUUUUCAAGUUAUACUUUCAAACAAACAAAAAAAAAAUCAUAUAUUUACUUUUAUUUUUUUUUAACCAUCGGGACUCCACUUCGACCCUUUACCCUCUGUGUUUUCUUUCUGCACAUGAAUUGUGUAGCACUUUGCUAUGAAACAAGACAGUUUACUGCACUAUAGAAAUGGAUAUAUGAAUGUUAAAAUGCAAUUCCACCUGCACUUCUACUAGUAGCUGAAGUUAUGGAAUAGUUUAUUGAUCUGAAACUUCUUGCAGUUCUUUAUGUUUUAAGUCUUACUUCGUGCUACUUUUGAAAAUAUACAUACAUAACUAGAGUUCCACACUCUUGUAUUUCUUGUAGAUUGAACUUUUCUCGUACUACCUUUUGCAGGUUGUUACACUCUUGAUCCUAAUUUUACAUACUCUGUUUCCAUUAUCAUAUGAAGGGAUUGGUUUCUUCUGGAGAAAACUUCUUAACAAAGUUAAGGUAUUCACUUUUAAUUAUGAUUUCAUAAUUUGCUGCAAGAAGCUUCAUUCAAAAGGUCUUAUCUUAUUAAGGAUCAUGUACAUGAUAAAGAAAGUUAAUCGUGAAAUAUUUCUUCCUUGUUUUGCACAUAUGUCUUAUAUGUUUUUCUGAAUUCUCUCAUUCGGGGGCAGAACUAUAUAUUUUUAAGGUUUGGCUUCCCAUUCAAUUUAUAAAAUAUUUUUAACAGCAUGCACGUUUUGAUAUGUUGUUCAGUAUUUCAGCUCCUCUUAGAGAAUGUGGUGAGCAUUCAAAUAAAUCAAAUCUUAUGUAGUUUCUUGUACCAAAAUCGGAAUGAUGCUGCCUCCUAAAUUAGAAUAUUGACUUCGAUCUUUUUGCAUUGACACACUUGAAUAUACCAAUUUUCCAAUUUCUAAAUAAACUUAUUGCUUUUGCCUGAUACAUGGUUUAUCAAUUUGUACCAUGUUAAUCUCGUUUAGCAUAUUAGUUUUCUUAUAUAUUUUUUUUGCCCAUUCAAGUGUUACAGCAAAUGAUUUUGUUUGUGCUAUUAAUAUCUUGAGAACUCAAUUUCUUUUGUUUUGUUUUUUGUUUUUUUUUUUAAGAUCAUAAUUUCUAUUUUCUCACGAGUAGAGGAACAUUAUGUGACUACAUCAGAUAUAAACAACACAGAGAUUUUCAUAUCAAGCACUAAGUGAUAAAGAUCUACAGUUUAUGCAGCCAUUCCUUGCUCCCUAACAAUCAACUGGAAUUAAGUAAAACAGUUAUAGAAAGUAAAGAAAUCUUGAGGAAAAAGUGGGUUUUACUGUUAGACAAUAAUCACGGGUCUUUCCUAUGAUGUAAACAUGUGAACAGAGGAAGCAGUAUAUUUUGAUGGAAAAAUAAGUGUUUCUGAAAUGAAGAGGCCUAUGGUAUAAACUGAGAACAAGAAUGGAUGGUUUUGUGUUUAUUUUCAUUUUUAAUCUCCAACUUUUCCAGAUAUGUUCUGUACCUGUUUUUUUCUUUAUCAACUUGUAUUACAUGAAAAGAAGAACAGAAGAGAAGCUAUAAUGGAGUCCUUUGUUACAUUAUGGUCAUCUACAAUACGUGGAAGGACUUAUAACAUAUAUCAUAUUUUUUAUUGCUUAUGAUUGGAUAUGUGAACUGUUGAAAUGAAUUUGUUAUGGCUUAAAAUCAAGAAUUGAAACGAAAAAUUAUUGGCCAGACUAGUUUGGUUUCAACUUGAAUUGUCUUUUUGGUACCAUUGAAACGAUAAAUUUUAAAAAUUGAACCUUGAUAAAUAAUCAGUUCUUUUAUUGAUUUUUAGGUACUUCUGUUGUUACUAUUGGUUGCCGAUCUAUUAGUCUAUGUUAUCUAUCUGUCCCCAGUGGCAUUCUAUACUCUUCCGUUUAGGAUUGCACCCUAUAUACGGGUUGUAUUUUUCAUCCUGAACAUCAGGUAUGGUAUGGGUAGUUGGAUACCCUAUUACAGUUUUUCUCCUGCAUUAUGUUCUCAUUUGUGCUUUCUGGAUUUUUCGUCUUUCCCUGGGGUGCUAUGUCCCAUUAGGAUUUAUACAUUGGUUUUGGAAUAACUCUUCCUGAUUACAAAGUUCCAUCUUCUAGCUGGCACGCUCUUGAACAUUGAAAUCCUAUUGUUGUCUUUUGGACUAAGGUUUGGGAUUAUCAUUUGGUGGAAAAGUUUGCCUGUCAAUUCGGGUAGAUGAGUUUUCCAGUUUUGAUGCUGCUUUUCAACUGGUAGAAGCAGUCUUCACAAGGUGAACAUUGGUUUUUAUUGGAAUCAUGUUCAGAUGGAUGCAAGGUUAUGGACUGAAUAAAUUACCAAAUUUACAAUAUAUGAAACUGAUUUCCACCUUUCGACUAUACAUAGGUGAAAACUUAAAACCAUGAUAAGCAUAUCAUUCAUUAGAAUUGAUUGUCAGUUAUGGUGCCCACUUGAGGGCGAUUGCUUGGAGAAAGAAGAGGUUGGAAUUUGUUGAUUUUCAAUUAACCCAACACACAGGAAGAGGAAAUACCAUUCUUCCCAAAAAGGAUACUCUAAGCCAAUCAUAUGCCACGUAGCAUCAUUUAAUUCCUUCGCGUGACUGCUAAUUUCCACUAACUGAAUUGCUUCUUAAUUUUGUAAAUUGACAUUAGGGAUUUACGAGAUAGCAUUGUCAUCCUGGCUGGAAUGUUCGGCACGUACCUUAAUAUUCUGGUGCGUCCACUUAGUAGUUCUGGUACUUAUCUUCAAAAGAAUUUAUUACACAUAUAAUUGAAGUAUUGCCACUAUUAUGAUCUUUCUAUCUCUUCAAUUUCACGAGUGAAAUUUGAUUGUGCUUUUUGCCUUUCUGGGGACCUAAUGCAGGCUCUAUGGGCUUUGUUUCUCUUGUUCUGUAGCUGGUUGGCAUUUGUUAUUUUUGAAGAUACGCAACAGGGAAAGACUAUAUUCACUUCAUAUGGUACCACAUUAUACCAAAUGUUUGUUUUAUUUACGACUUCCAAUAACCCAGAUGUCUGGAUUCCUGCAUACAAGUAAGUAGCUUUGAAACAUUGGUUUUUUAGAUUCAUCCUCUUCUCUCUUUCUAAUAUUGCCUAUUUAUUAUGCUGCAUUCCUUCCCCCUACCUUGCACCGUUAAGGUAGUCAUACAGCACACACAGGAGAAGAUUUGAAUUUACGUCCAAGCAACACUGCUAAACCUUUAGAACUUAUUAACGACUUCUAUAGUUAUCAAUUUCCAUAUUGUUCUACUAUUUGCUUAUAACUGAUUUUCUCUUGUUUUAUUCACCUCCAUGAUAUGUUGGUUCAUAGGGCCUCACGGUGGUAUUGCCUAUUUUUUGUUCUCUACGUGCUGUUGGGCGUUUACUUUGUCACCAAUUUGAUUCUUGCUGUUGUAUAUGAUAGCUUUAAAAGUGAGGUAUUUGAUGCAUCCCUUGCACUAUAUUUUUACGCUAACACUUUUUCUGUAUAACUCAUAUAUUAUCCAAUUGCCCAAUAUGAGAUGAAAUAUAUCACUUGCCAUUGUAGAAGGAAUGGAGCUUCAAACUCCUACUUCAGAUUUGGAGGCAUUAUACUAAAUUGCUGUCUUUCUUUUUUGGCAUUCAUUGUUGUCUUACAAAAAGCACUAUACACCAUUUAGAUGUCAAUUUGUGACUUCUUGUUCUCAUGUUGACAGCUUGAUGUGUAUCUAAUACUAGUUUUUGUUACAGCUCGUAAAACAAGUCGAUCAGAAGGAUCGUACAAGGAUGAGAAUACUAAAGAAAGCAUUUGACCUGAUGGAUAAUUAUGUGAGUAUAUUUUUUUAUCUUCAUGUUGUGAAUGAUGGUUGGGUAUACUUUAUGUUUUCCAUUCGUAUGGGUUGGGCGUGAGUUGGGUUGGAUUGAUUUUUUAUCCAAUCCAAAUCCAACCUGACAUGGUGUGUUUGAUUUAAAAUCAAACCAACGAAAUCUAAUUACUUGUUUAAACUCAACCCAAACCGAUAAAAUUUGGGUUGGUUUAGGUUGUGUUGAUUGAUUUGGGCUUGGGCCCAAUUCAAGUUGGAUUCGAUUACUUUUUGUUGAAUUUGAACAAUUUUUAAAGUUUAAAAUCACUUGAAAAUCUUCAUUAUUUUUAACAUAAAUAAGGAAUUCAUUUUGAAUUUUGAAUUUUAUAAAUUAGUUUAAAACUAUGGAGCAUUUUCUUUUUUGUAACUUUUUUGGGAUUUAUUCAUUUUAUUAUCACAUCCUUAAUUUUUAGUUUAUCGUCAAAUUAUUUUGCAUUUCUACAUAAUAUUCAUACCAAUCGACCUAUGUAAAAAAUGGAACGUUUGUACAUUCUAAAUCCUUCUCUUAUCUCCACUAUUGUGUCUAAUUCAUUGGGUUGGGUUGAAUUGGGUUUUAAUUCAUAACCUGAGACUCAAUCCAACCCCACCUCAAUUUUCAUUUUUCAACCUAACCCAACUCAAUUGGACUUAAAAACCAACCCAAACCGAUCGGUUUGCGUUGGGUUGGUCAGUUUAAGUGGUUUGGGUUGGUUUAACUUUUAAAAAGCUUGACCAAUUGAUUUUCUUCUAAACCAAAGCAUAAUAAUCAUGUGAAAUUUUGUAAAUUGGUAGAAUCAUGCUAUUUACCCUUCAUGUGUUGUUAUAAUAGUGAGCACCAAUUCUAAUCUGAAUCUGCCCCUGCAAUUCCUCCCAUCGGUUAGUAAAUUUGAUAUUUGAUUUUUCCAUGAGGAUUCCUUCCUGCACUUCUGCUUUCCCCUAUUGGAUCUGAAACUAUGGUGUAAAAUGAAGUUGAUUUUUUUGGGAUAAUUUCUAUGAUUGGUACGGGUCAUAUUUGCAAAUGAUAUAAUAGAAAAUGAAGCAAAAAGAGGCAUAUUCGUUGUUGAAGAUGUAAUUUAAAUGAAUUCAGCAUGGUAAGCAAAGGUUCUGAGUUCGAGUCUCAUCACCAUCCAUUUAUGAAAAUGGUAUGCGUAUCAAGCCUUUGAUAAAAAAAUGAAUCUGGCCUGUGCACCUUGUGGAACAUGUUGAAGACAUAAUAGAUUUAUAGAUGCUUGUUCUCUCUUGCACCUUAAACUUUUAGAUAAUGUGAUUCUGUUAUGAUGACCUUGUGCAUGUCUGAUUAUACUUCAGCCAUUGAGAACUGCUAUGGCCCAUAUCCAUCACUCAUAUUAUUAGAGAGCCAUUGGAUGCAUUGCCUCCGUGAACUUUCAAUUGCAGUAUGCUGCAACCCCAACCCAAUCUGUCGCCCAAACACACAAAUACAGAGGCCACUUUCACCAUCUCCAUCCACAUAAGGGAGAUUGCUCACACAUAUUGCCUUCCAUUAAUCAACUAGGUUUCUUUUUUAAAUUCUUUCUAUUUUUUACCUAGGACUUCAUAUAAUUGACUUGGCACUCGCCAUCUACUUGUUCAACUUUUUGACAACUUGAAAAAACUAAAAGCUUUGCCCUCUUUAUCCAUCCAAGGGAUGGAAGGGUAGAGGCCUUUGGUGUCACCUUCCGUCAAGAUUUGGCCUCAUAAUUACUAGCCUGUAGUUUUUUUUUUUUCCAUGCAUUUCUUCGUUAAUGGUUUGAUAUUCUAGUGGUUGGUUUCAUUAUCAUGUAUCGGCCCCAAAAUUGGCUUGGUUUUAAGAUGUAGAAUCUAUGGUGAGUCACCAUUUAGUGGGGGUCAGGGGGUGGUAUCUUUCUACUCUUGUUAUGAAGUUACAGUUACAGUUAUACCACAUUUGAAGUGUCUCAGUAAUUGUGGAUCUGGGAUAAUUAUAAAGAUAAUCCUAUGUUUUAGCAUUGUGGAUUUGAAAAUUGAAAAAAAAAAAAAAAAAAUGGUUGACAAGAAGCUUAACUGUUGGUUCUCCUAGGAUCAUCUAGGGGAUUGAUGGAAUUCGGUUGUAAUAUGAAUUUUUGGCUAACCUGGGCUGUCCUAACACAUGUAAUGGGAUUGUAAGCCCCACUUGUCCUUGUUGAAAGAAAAAAGUUUUUUUUGAUGAGUUCUUUGUUGAAAGAAAAAAGUAGUAAAGAAUGGGAAAAUAAUUAUUACUUCUGACCUCUGCUCCCAAAUGAAAAGCUGGGCUAGCAAGCCAUGUGUCAAGUACUGUUAUGACCAUUCCAAGUUAUUAUAGUUAAUUGAAUUUUGAUUAAGUAAUCAUGUAAGUUGGUGGAUAAAUUUUAUGGAACGCUAUCAAUUAAAUAUCCAUGGAAAGAACAAUUCGUCUUUGCUUCAAUAUGUAAACAAUCAUUACAGAGCAUAUCUGGACAUCAAAGACGAAAUGAAAACUUGACCUUUGAAAAUUUUAUUUGAAGAAAAGAACCAUUUUGUUAAUGAUUAGAAUUUAAGAAUUUGCUACUAGAGAAAUUGGGUAGAUGGCUUUAAUUCUAAGACAUGGAUAAUUCAUGAUUGGAGUUAGUUAAGUGGUUGAUAAUGCACGGACAACUCAACCCGAGUUAUUCAAGGAGGCAGUUAGUAGAUAAUUAAGUUUUGAUCCAUUUGAAAGCACAAGUUAAACUCUUUGUGAACCUAUACUUUGAUGUGUUAAGUCAGACAUACCGAAUUAGCAUAUUUGGAAUUUAGUUUUUUGAAGAAUUUAUGGGUUGAAAUGAAGUUCUGCAAAAAUGAAGGACAAGUAUUCCUCCAGCUAAAAUAAGCAUUAAAUCUGGGAAUUCUGUAAUACAUUUUUUAAUUUCCCANGUGAACCUAUACUUUGAUGUGUUAAGUCAGACAUACCGAAUUAGCAUAUUUGGAAUUUAGUUUUUUGAAGAAUUUAUGGGUUGAAAUGAAGUUCUGCAAAAAUGGAGGACAAGUAUUCCUCCAGCUAAAAUAAGCAUUAAAUCUGGGAAUUCUGUAAUACAUUUUUUAAUUUCCCACAUGGCAACUACGUAGGAAAGCCAAUCCAUUGCUUGUUCCUUGUCCAUUUCUCUAAGCAAAUUAUUUUUAUCUGUAAUUGUACAGGCUUGUCUUCAAACCUAGCUAGAACUGUUUCUUUUAUUUUUAAACAUUCUUUUGAUUUUAUGUUUUCAUUUGUUUCACACUUCUUGUAAUUGACAGAAUCUUAAUUAUCUCAACAAGGAUCAGUGUAUUCUUCUGUUCGAAGAACUGAACAAAUACAGGUGGAAUUCUCUUUUCCAUGCCCCCCCUGCAAUGACUGAAAAUUAUUUCGCUUAACCUGUAGAUUUCUUUCUUGAUUAGGGAUAAACAUAUAUAUUUCUAUCCAUAUUUGCAUCAGUCUCUAAUGUUUGUAAAUGCAUGCAUUCAUGAUUAAUGAAAAGAUUUCAAUUCGACAACUUGUUCAUUCAGCUUGGUAUAAAAAACAAAAAAACCAUUGAGAAUGAGCAAAGCUAGAAGAGGGGCAUAAUGAUAGGUGAUUACAAUGGUUGGGUUCUUUAUCCCCAUUAGUUGUAUUUGUGUUUGUCAGAGACAUCUUCAAACAGAUUUCAAUAAAUAAUAGGUGCACUAACAACAUUAGCUGUUCUUAAUUUGUAAUAUAUCAAAACUUCCUUCCUGGGUAGGAGGAAUGUCUAGAUGGAGAAGGCAGUACUUUCAAUAAGUGGCUAACCUACGCAAAUAUUCUGCUUGUUAAACAAGUAGAAAUUCUGUUCUGCUCUGGUAGACAAAUAAUUUUAUUUUUAUUUGUCAUUCAGUAUUAUUUUCUGGCAUAUAUCUUGUGGAUGUUGAGGCAUAUUUUGUUUGCAAUGUAUUUAGGACAUUACCAAAGAUAUCCAGAGACGAUUUUGAAUUAAUAUUUCAUGAGUUGGAUGACAGUCACGACUUCAAGGUAGCUUCUUCAUAUUUUCGUCUUUGAUUUAUGCUGUUGAGACUUGUUUCCUUUGCCAUCUUCUUUAGAUUUUUGUACAAAUGAAUUCACAUAGAUCCAAACAAACAUGUAUUUGUAUUUGUAUUCUUAGUUAUUUAUUGUGGAUGUUUUACUAGUUUCACCACACGUUCGGUUGUUUUAGGUAUCUCACAGCCCCAAAAUGCAGCUAAGAAAAGGGCAGAGGGGGUAAUGAAUUCGGUGGCCAAAAGGACUAGAACCAUGGAAUACAAACCAUCCCUUUGUCUUUUAGUCACCCUAGGAAGAAAGAGUUACAAUGAUUAAUAACAUAAAUAAGCAGAGGGCAUAUAUGGAAAUAACAGAAUCCAGAACACCCAAGGUUUCCCCACCUUAAGUUUUCCCGGCCUUGGCUUUCCACAUCUGCAACAAUCGCCCCUUCAGCUCUCCAAUCUACUUCCUCACCUUUGCAACCCUCCCUGCAGUAGUCCCCCAAUGGAGCCCUUUCCCCUGUAAACCCUCUGCAGCCCAGCCUCUACCCAUUCUGAUGCGGACAUCCAUUUAUUAUUUAUUUUCUAUUUGGACUAUUAGUUAUAUUUUAUUUGGACUAUUGUUUAUGUUUUCGCUAUUGGGCUUGCUUAGUGGAUUUGGCCCAAGCCCUUCUCUUUAGGGUUUGUGUUCUGCUAUUUAUUUCUGUUUUGUUUCUCAUUUGAGACAGUUGAUGAUGAAUUAGAAUUGAAAUAUUUUUGGUGGCUUGCAGCCGUUUUCUCCCUCCCCUCUCUUCCCCUGGUUUCUUCUCCUCUUCUCCAUUCUCUCUGUUUCUCCUCCCCGUUCCUUCUUCUUUCUUUCUUAUUCAUCCUACAUCAAAUUUGGUAUCAGAGCUAAAUCUUGGGUAUUUUUCUCUUAUAAUUCAAAAUUUUCUUCUUUCCCUUUUCCCAAAACUUGUUGAACAGCAGAAACAAAAAGGAUUUGUUGGAAGAUAGUAGUUUUCCUUCCUAGGUCAAAAAAAAAAAAAAAAAAAAUUUAUUGUUCAUUGUGGGUACUGUUACGCCCAGAAUUUCAGUUUUGCGAUCUGUCAAUUUCCACAAAAAAAAAAAAAAAAACUGUUCCCGGGUACUGUUCAUCCGCGGGGAAAAAAAAAUCCGAGUUGUUAUGUUACUGCUGCUACUUCCUACAAACCCUAAUCCAUACACACAAUCAAUUAUUAAUCCAAAUAGCCCAUUAUAACACCUAGUCAAAUAUUCUAGUCUCCAAAUCAUUUAACUCGUUACUCAGACUUAAUCUACAUCGACAUAAUCAUAAGUAGCCCAAGUCCUAGAGGCCAUUAUCCACAUCUCAUAUUCAGCCCAAUAAGGUCAUUACAUCAACCCAAUUAUCCAAUCUGGCCAAUAACCCAAUCCCCAGCCCAUUUAUCACAUAUUUAGCCCAACUAACCCAACCUACUCUCUACGACCCAGGCCCACUCUCUAAACACUAACCCAAACUGGCCCAUCUCUAUAACAGGAUCUAAACCCCUUCCCAUUUGGCCCAGUCCCAAAUAUCCGACCAAGCCCGAUUAUAACCAAUCAAUUAACAUCAAAUACCUCACAGUUUCACCCGAUUCCUCUCUCACAACCACUCUCUUGCUGCCAUCGCCUCUAAUCACCAUCACGCUACCACUUCAUUAUCUAUUGUACCCAGGCAUCUAGAGCACUAUCGCUUCAUCGCCAUAGGCCACCACCACCAACCCAAGAUCAUACACUUCCACCACAGUUACCACACUCAUAUAUUUCCUCGUCCAUCUCAACAAUCUAAAAGCCACAGUCACCACACUUAAUUUUACGUCCACACCAGAGCCAACACAAGUUACAGUCAACAGAGGUUAAAACCAUUGGACACGAAGGGAAGAACAGAAGCAUAGUUGGGGCUUAUAAGUUGGCAAUUCAAAUCAAGCGGCAUACAAAUAAUCAAACUAAACUACAGGGAGUUGCUAUCUCCUAAUUCUCAUUGGUUUAUACUGCUGUUUUAUUUUAAAAGUGCAUCACUUAGAUUCUUUGUGUUGCUGUUACUAUCACAACUUUGGUCUCAAACUUCACUUGAUUGGAAUCACUCAUUGAAUUGACUUGCCAUUGUUGCCCCAUUUAUCUCACUGAAUUGAUGUGCCAUUGUUACCUCUUUUAUCUACCUCAUUGGAAAUCUUGACAAUACCAUUUGAUCUUAACAAGCAUUGGACCAUUGCUUUAUUAUUUACAAGCAUCAGCACUAUUAACUUGCAUUUUUGGAAGGGAAGAAAAGAGAGAGAGAGAAUUUCAAAUUGAUGUUUUAAUCGUUGGUCCUUGAUGCAUAUUGGUCUCUCUAUUGCAUUUCAUUUAGGUAGUAUUGCUUUGCAUAUAGUUACAUAUUAGUCAUCUUGUCAGUUCUAGCUCUAGUACCUUAAACAUGAACCCCUCACAAUUCGAUGCACUCACCCGACAAAUAGCGGCUAUUCAAACUCAAAUGAUCGCUACUCUUGAAGAGAGUAAGGCCCUAUCUGUUAGUUCGAAAAAUUUUAAACACAUCCCUCAUUCGAUUGAUGUUAAUAAUUUUAAGGUGUCCCAUAAUAGACAAUAUCGUCGACAAGGUAAUCAAAAAUACUUUCGACCCGAUCGUAAGGAUAGGGAUAGGAAUAGGGAUCAGAUUCGUGAGCGAGAACGAAAUAAUUUUGAAAUUCUUACUCAAUGGAAUGCCCUUAAACAAGGAAAUCAAUUAGUGACUGAGUAUAUCGCACAAUUUGAAGAAUUUCGAAGCAAAUGUCAUUUAAUUGAAGACGAGACUACGACUUUGAGUAGGUUUAGCCAAGGUCUGAGAGAUGAUCUUAGGCGUGAGCUUUUUCUUCGAGGUGUCACUACUCUUGAUCAUGCUUACUCGUUAACUCGAGAUUAUGAGUUGAUUAUUAGUACUCCAUAUGAAAGGCGUGGUCAUCGUCGUUCACCCAUCCCAUUAGCGUCGCCUCGUCAUAAGUCUAUCAUAAAGCCUUCUCCGUCUAAUGUUCCUCCUAUUUGGAAAAAUAAUUGUAAAGGUCGUGAUAGUCCAAGAUCUUCUUCUCCAUGUAGAAAGCAUAUUGACAAACAUCCUUCAAUUUCAUUGGCUCCACCUUCUCCCGUUAAGUCCCUUCUAAGACCUUCCCCGUCUAAUCUUCAUACAAUCUUGGAAAAUAAGGGUACAAUUUUUGAAACUUCAAGGACUUCUUCUCACUUGUUGUGCGUCAGCUGUAAGGACUUUGGCCACAUUUCCUCCAAAUGUACUAAUCGAACCUUAGUCAUGGAAGAACGAAAGAAUGUAAUAGAUAUGCCAUUAGAAGAUCUAGUCUAUGAACCUAAACUUGAAGAUUUUGAUGACUUGGAUGAUAGUGAGGACACUUCUUUAGGUAGACUCCAGACUCUUCCCGAGACUUUAGAUACUAUACCCCUUGUUUUUGACAACUCUCGAUCACAUGUUAUAUGUCAUACCCUUGCACAACUCAAAGAGUUUGAUGAUUUCACUGGCCACCCUUGGAGAAUCCAGUCGCCUGUGGUUAGCAUUAAAUCAACAUUCUCCACUACUGACCAACUUCAAACUGAUGGUCAAAAUGAAGUCGUUAACCAAAGUCCUGACAAUUUAUUCAAGUCUCUAGUCCAAAAAAAUCUUAGAAAUUGGGACUUGAUUCCCCCAACUGUUCAAAUUGCGUAUAACAAUUCUGUAAAUCGAUCUCUAGGUUUGAAUCCAUUUGAAGCUGUUCAUAGUUAUAAGUCUAGGCGGCCGUUAGACCUUAUUUCCAUGUCCCCACAUGCUAGUGUGUCGAUAUCAAUUGAAGCAUUUGUGCAUCAUCUUCAUGACUUGCAUAUUAAGAUCCAUAAACAACUUCACGCAAGUAAUGCAUCAUAUAAACUUCAAACUGAUUUGCAUAAACAAUAUUUUCAAUUUCAUCUUGGGGAUUAUGUUAUAUUGCAAGCCGGUAGUGCUGGUCCUUUUAAAGUUUUAAAGCAUGUUGGUCCAUACGCACAUGUCAUUAAUUUUUCAUCACAUUUUGGCCACCACUCUACUUUACAUAUUGAAGACUUAGUUACUUACAAAGGCCUUUUUAAUUUCCUUGAUGAUCCUUUUCUACUUCCUUAUGUGGAUCCCCAACCUAAAUAUAUUACCAUUUUCACUCCAAUAACACAUGUCACAGCACACAAAGAUGUAAUUGAUGCUAUUUUAGAUAAAUAGGUUGUGUUGACCAAUGAGGAAGAUUUUGGAGAUGAGUGGCAUGAAUUUUUACUAUUGGGAGUUCAGUAUCGGUAUGUGAUUACAAAGAAAGAUCGUCCUCCUUGGUUGGAUCAUAUCCUUGAGGAUAAGCUACAACUAUCCUUGUUAUCAUUUGUGGAGUUUCGGUAUUUGAUCAUCGAGAAAGAUCGUCCCUCGUGGCAUGACUUGGAGCCUUUCGCAUCAGAUUCAGUGCAACAUUCUGCUUUAUCUACUCGACGGGAUCGAGUUUUUCUCCCACCCCAGGAGAGUUGAUGCGGACAUCCAUUUAUUAUUUAUUUUCUAUUUGGACUAUUAGUUAUAUUUUAUUUGGACUAUUGUUUAUGUUUUCGCUAUUGGGCUUGCUUAGUGGGUUUGGCCCAAGCCCUUCUCUUUAGGGUUUGUGUUCUGCUAUUUAUUUCUGUUUUGUUUCUCAUUUGAGACAGUUGAUGAUGAAUUAGAAUUGAAAUAUUUUUGGUGGCUUGCAGCCGUUUUCUCCCUCCCCUCUCUUCCCCUGGUUUCUUCUCCUCUUCUCCAUUCUCUGUGUUUCUCCUCCUCGUUCCUUCUUCUUUCUUUCUUAUUCAUCCUACAUCACAUUCUCUUUAAUUUUUAUUUAUUUAGAUAAUUUAAUUGAGAAUAAAGGCAUAUUUUCUCUUUAACAAAAAAACUGACCUUUUAAUGGGAACAUGGAUGAAUGCUGUCCACUGGGAUCAGGGUGCUACAAAUUGAAAGGUUGGGGACCAACUUGCUAUGUCACCCAUAGGUUGGGGACAUCUGCUGCAAUUUUCCCUUUAAAUUACAGUCUUGAUAUUUUAGAUUUUCAUGAAAAAGAUGCAUUUUCAAAUUCCAACCAUUGGCUUUGCAAAGUUCUGAAUUUUCAUUAUUUGGAUCUAGUGAAAGUAUGAGCUUGUAACUUACUACCAUAUGAACUUCGAAGACGAUGUGAACUAUUUGCUCUAAUCACAUCUUUGCUCUUUGUACCUUUUUGUAAGUGUCGAUUACAUUAUGGUAGGCAUUCCUUGUUGAUUAUGUUGCUUAGAGUUCAUUCUCUGGCCCUAAAAGUACUAUCUAAGUAGUAUGGUCUUGAAUUUGUCUAUUCAAGUUUUGUAACUUUCUUUUGUAUUAUUUGAUUUUAGAUUUAUAUAUGCCUCGAUACCUUCUGAACGUAAAUAUGAUAUUGUUUCUGUUAUAGAAUGUACAGCAUGUAGGAUUAAUAUCCUUAAUUAUAGGAUCCCUAAUUAGGAUCCUUCCUAAUACAGAAUUCUCAAUGUAUAUAUAUAUGGAUGUAACCUCUCCUAUGAAAAAUAAUAAUGAUUUUCUCUCCUAAUUACAGUCUCUAUAUUUAAACAUAAUUAUGGCUCUUCACUCUGGUGUAGUAUAUCGGUUUCUUUUUGACAAAUAAAAUCUUUCAUAUUAAGAAGUUGAUGAUUCUCUUUUCUAAUGGCAUCUUAGCUAUUUGGCGAUUUUUAUUUACUUGCAGAUUAAUUUGGAUGAAUUUGCUGACCUUUGCAAUGCCAUUGCACUAAGGUUUCAAAAGGAGGAUUCAGUAAGUCCACUUUCCAUUGUUCUGAGGCUUGAAUGACAUCCUUGCAACUUCUUAUAGUAUUAAAUAAAAAUGAAGGCUUUUGAUCUUCUUUCCAACACAUCAUAAUUGUUUUGCAGGUACCUAUUUUUGAAAGCCUUGCAUUUUACCGUUCACCCGCAUCUAAAAGGCUGAAAGACUUUGUUAAAAGUCCGAAAUUUGGAUACAUAAUAGUGUUCAUCCUUGCCCUGAAUUUUGUUGCAGUCAUUAUUGAAACAACGGUAUGAUUUUCAGUCAACUGUUGUAUAAUCAAAAGAAACCUAAUUAUAUCUGGUUAGAUUUAACAACUAUUCUAUAAAUGUUGUGUAGUUUCAGGAUUAACAGGACUUUAACUUGUGAAUCUGACAAAUCGUCUCUGGCAUAAUUCUUCCGAAAGAUGUUGUCUCUCUCUCUAGACUGUUCCAUUAACCAUUGCACUCCCUCCUCGACAGCUAAACAGACACAAAGUCCAAGAAUAAAUGAAGGAAAAGAAGAUACAUGUUGUAUGCCAAGGAACUAGUCAAGAAAUCAUUUGUUGAAGACAAAGUUUAAACAAAGAAAUAAAAUUGUUGUUCUCUUACUACUUAAACUUUUAGAUGAUGUGGUUCAACAUAACACUAGAGUAGGCAAAGCUCCUGAAUAAAGUCUCACCGACCCAUUUUUGAAAAUUUUGCACGUAAUUUAAAUAAAUAAAUUUGUACCCUCUUUAUUAGCUUUUAGAUGAGCUCGAUAAACAUCAUCUAGUCAUAUAUACUACCACUGGAUAUCUAAUGAUAUAUUCUGUUCAUUGUGUUUUUCAGCUUGAUAUACAGAACAAUUCUGCUCAAGAGGCUUGGCAGAAGGUGGAAUUUGUGUUUGGUAAGAGCUCAACAAAUCUUGGAUCCUAUGAGGCAUCAAAUUCAUCAUUGGAUACUAGAAUAUGAUUGAACCUCAAAUUAUCCAUGUUGAUCAAAAUCAGGCAGUAAUAAGACAGGCAGAAAUGUUUUCAAUACUGUUUUCACACUUCUUUUUUGCUUUUCGUCUCGACUUGAAUAAUGAAGAAAAGAUGCCAAGUCUGUUGGUCACAAAACUUCAUUUCUGUUAAACUAAUAUCCUAUGUGAAAAAACGUAUGAUCUGAAAACAACUGUAAUUUUAGCUUGUAUUGGGAGUCAAUAAACUUUACGUGUCAGAGGGAUAGGGAGACGAUCGAUCAUUUGUUCCUCCAUUGUGAUGUUGCUAGUUUCCUAUGGAAUGAGAUUUUCGCAUCGCAACACAUAUAUUGGGCGAUGCCAAGGCAUAUGGAAGACGUGUUAAAGGCAUUAAGGAGAAAAUUUCGCGACAAGGAUAGCUGACUUGCACGGGAGCUUAUUCCGAGCUGCAUAGUUUAGUGUGUGUGGAGAGAAAGGAACAGUCGAUGCUUUGACGAUCAAAUAAGAACAACAGAGAACUUAGAGAAUUGUUUUAUUUCACAUUGUACACUUGGUUUAAUGCGGUGGCUACUAGUUAUAUGAUGGGCUGCCCAAUUUUAUGUCGUUUCUUUUGGAUUUGUAUUGAUAAUACAAUUCCUGUGUAUUAUGGUUUGAUUAAUAAAAUACUUGAUUACCUUUCAAAAAAAAAUAAAUUGCAUUUUCUUCACAGGAUGGCUAUACGUAGUGGAGAUGGCAUUAAAGGUCUAUGCUUAUGGAUUUCAGAACUAUUGGAGAGAUGGUCAAAAUCGCUUUGACUUUAUAAUCACCUGGGUAAUAGGUAAGUGUCAUCAAUAGUUCAAUUCCAACUCUCUUAUCUCUAGUCUGCCUUACAACUAUAAUUUAACAUGUAAUAGCUUAUUGAAACGCCUUAUCGUACUAAUUUAGUAUUUUGUUGUUGUUUCUAAGUCAUAUAGAUCUUGUUUUCAAAAAAAAAGUCUUAUAGGAGUUAUGUUCAGGGAAAUUUCCAUCUAAUCAACUGUGAAUCACUAAGGUCUCUGUCCAAAACUAAAAGAUUAUAUCCUCCAUUGGAUAUUCGUAGUCCUCAACUAAGUUGACCAACCAUUUGAGGAAAAAAUUGCUACUAUUGUGUCAGUUAUUUUCUGAUUAUAUUGGAAUUCUUUGAUGAAAGUUUUAUGGAAGAUGAUAAUGAGGUAACACUAAAAAGGUAAGAAAGCACCACAAUGCUUGCAAGGUAUAAAACAUAAAUUAGGAAAGUUAUUCUAAGUUUAGUUACUAUGGAUAUUUGUAAGGAAGAAUACAAGGUGUUUUCCAUCACAUGUAAGAGCUUAAACUAUUAGAGAUAAGUCACAUAUAUUUAUUUAAAUCUUGUUUUCAACACCCCUUCUAACACAUGUAAGCAGGGUUCAUUUUUCACAUCAAAGUUUAACACAUGACAAGUUUUAAUAUAUGGGUGGCAACGAGACUUGAAGCUACGUCUUUUUUGUAUGACUCUGAUCCUACAUUAAUUGUUGUACCACUUGAUGUAAAAUUGUUGUACCAGUUGAUGUAAAAACUUAAAGUUAUUAAAUAGGGUCACAUAUAUAUCAUUUAAAUGUUCUGUUCAACAUGCCCUUUCACAUUUAGGAGGAAGUUUAAUUUUUCCCAUCAAAGCAAGCCUGAACAUGCACGAUUUCAUUGAAUCGGUGGCAACAUGAAUUGAAUUCAAUAUCUUUACCAUAUUGAACUACUUAAUCUAAAAGUUCGAACUAUUAGAUAGGCCACAUAUAGAUCAUUUAUAUAUUUCUUCGGUUUGUCAGAAUUGUGUUUGACAAUUUACUUGGCAUAUCAAAUUACCUUUGUCAUACUAUGUAAUAAUUAAUUUCUUCAAUUUGUGUACUUCUAUCAGUUAAAAGGCCCAGGAGUUCAUAUGUAACUUCAGAGGCCGUCGCUUUGUGAUUCUUUUAUUAACGGAGUAUUCAUCGAAUUCUACUUGAUGGUUGGGAACUAAUGAUUGGAUUUGUCAACAUAGAUUUUUUCUUUCCUUCUUCCCCUUAUUCAUCAAAAUGAGGGUAGAAUUACUGGCAGGAACCAUUUAACCUAUCUAGGCAUUUAGAGAAGUUCGCUACAUUCAGAUUGAAACAUUACUCAAUUAAUUGAUUAACAUUACGCUGUCAUUUAUCGGUUCUUUAUGGAUUACACCUUUUCCUUUCUUCCAGUGUUUAAAAAUCAAAGACUUCUUUCUUUCUCUUUUCCUUUUAUAUGGAAUGAGCUGGUUGAGUUUGUGAUUCGGCUUGUUUGUCUUUCCUUCCCUUCUUUAUUAUUUUUAUUUUUAUUAUUAUUUAUAUUUUUGCAGUUGUUGGAGAAACAGCAACUUUUGUGUCUCCCCAUGGCCUAGCUUUUCUUUCCAAUGGUGAAUGGUGAGGAUAAGCUUGUGCAUGUGAUUAGAACAUUCAUAUUACCAAUGUUUUGCUACUCUCCUCUGUGGAAAUGAAUAUAAAGAAAAUAUAUCUUAUUCAAGUUGAUAAUCUGGAUUUGUCAAUCUUUAUCAUUGUAUAUCUUUCUUGUUUCUUUUUUCUUCUAUAAUUUCUUAACGAAUAGAAUAAUGUCUUGAAAGAUCUUUAGUUUUUUGUUUCCUACCUAUUUUACUAAGAUUGUAUUGUGAAUUUACUUAUCAUUGGAGGUUAUUUUUCAUCACUGUAAAAGGAAAUAAUGAGCCACUUUUUGUCUGCAGGAUUCGAUAUCUUCUUAUAGCAAGAAUGUUAAGAUUGAUUCGGCUAUUGUUGCAUGUUCAGCGUUACCGGGCCUUUGUUGCAACAUUUUUUACUCUAAUACCAAGUCUACUGCCAUAUUUGGGGAUCAUAUUCUGUGUCAUGUGCAUUUAUUGCUCUCUAGGUGUACAGGUACCUGAUUACUUCUUAUAAUGUAUUUUGAACCUUUUUUUAAAUUACACUUUAGAUAGAUGUUACUUGAGGUCAUUUUCACAACUUCAAAAAAUGAUUUUCUUGAGUUCACUUCCACAUAGUAGAUAGAUUUUGUCCAUCUGCAAAUUGUUGCUUCUUAAUAAGACAUGAUGUGCUCAUAAAAACCUGAUAUUUUUAUUUUUUUCAUUUUCUUGAUUUCUUAAAGUUUGUGGAGUGUUUCUUUUAUUCUUCAAUUUGCAGAUCUUUGGGGGGAUCGUCAAUGCUGGAAAUCCAAAUCUUGAAGGCACUGAUCUCAAUGAUAAUGAGUAUCCUUCGUCGUGAAUGAAGCUCUGUUAGAUUUUUGCUGAUUUAUAAUCAUAUUCCAAUCCAUCUCAAGGUGAUGUGUAUCUCAAUUUGACCGGUAAACAUGUAAAAUCCAUUCGAGAAUCUAUGUUUUUACCACUACAAAAGUUCAAUCAAUGACAAAAAACAAAUAGAAACUAACACAAUCAUAAUAAAUUUUGGAUUGCACUACUCCAGUAGAUCCAUCAUUACGUCUACCUGUACAAAUUGCUGUGAAAUCAUUCAUUGUUUCUUGUUGAGAUUCUGUUUCUCCAUUAAUUAUCAAUUUCCUGGCUCUUUUUUCUUGACAAAUUUAAGCUACUUACUCUUCAACUUCAAUGACUACCCAAAUGGGAUGGUAACACUUUUCAAUCUACUAGUGAUGGGGAACUGGCAAGUGUGGAUGCAGGUAUUGCACAUAAAUCAUGAUUUUCAGCAUCUUCCGUGAUAGAAUUAUCCAAUACUGUUCACUUUCUUCUUUUCAGUUUUUUUCAUUUGAGUGGAAAUGCUGAAUCAAGUUUCUUUUCUAUUGGAUACUGCAAUUACUGUGGGUUUACAAAUUUUUGUUAUGAACAACAAAUAAUGUAGUGCCUUCUUUGCGGAAGACUGGGCUGUUAUCUAGCAGUGAAGUUAGUGAACUUGGGUCAUAUCCAGGAACAGGCCAAUUUUGGAUAUGUUCGGCUCAUGUUUAUAAAUACUCAAGCCACUUUUUAUCCACACAUUUCGUGGGAUCCACAAGAACUACCUACUUAUUCGCCACUCAUUUCUAUAUAUUUAUAAUUUAAACCAUCGAUAAACACUUCCCAAACACGCUCUUAGUAUCAACUGAAUAUUAUUACUAGCGCAACAUAAUUAAAAUUCUAUGAAUAUUUGUUAGCUAAUGGACCAAGCUUUAUAAACGUCUCAGGUGCUUAGAAGACCAAUUAGAUAAAGAUGUGUAUUUAUUCUAAAUAAUUCCCUUUUCACUUCACCUUAUGUAGUGUACAUCAUGCUAGCUAACCCUGGUCUCUUGAAUUUGAGCAUUUCAGGCCUCAAAUAAGCAGCAGUCUUGCAGGAAUUGUAAACCUAUAUCGAGGAAAAACAGGAUGUUUAGAAAGAAAGGAUAGCAACAAUUCUAGCCUAGGCUUUAUGCUAAACAUGUGUCAACCUACAGAUAUUAUUUUGUCCUUUUUUCUUCUCUUCAUUUUUUAUUGUACAUGUCACAGUGUACGUGGAUGGGGUUAGAGAUUAGCUCUUUUGAAUUGGAUGAUAUUUUCAGGAGCCUAAGUUUAAUUUGGAACAAAUGUUAUUUAUAUACAUAUGUAUAUGCCUAAACUGCCGAGAGUUCAUUUCCUCUCUUUACUUGGCAUUGCACCUGGAUAUUAUACAUAAUUUCCCUUUUAAUGGACAUCUACAAUUUACAGUAUUGCAGCAGCAAUGUCUUACUCUGUCAUUUUGGGAGACUUGUUCCAUUGUAUGAUUGUAAUAAAUGAUGGUUGAAUUUCAGAGCUACAAGGAUUUGACUGGAACUGCAUGGUCUUAUGCAUAUUUCAUCAGCUUCUAUCUUAUUACAAUCGUACUACUACUGAAUUUGGUAAGUUGUAGCUAAUUUAGAGUCCUUUUCUAUGUCUUCUGUCAAUUGAAAUAAUUAGUAUCACUGACAAGUCUGCGUGCUUGUGUUUCUCAUAUUAAAACUCAAACAUAUUCUAAAGAACCAGUGUAUGUUUGGAAUAGUACAAACAUAUAACAGGAAGAACUCUUCACAUUGCAUAUAAAAUCUAGAACUUCUUGGAUAACAAUUUAUUUGCUUACACAGAUCUAUAUACUUCUAUGCAUCAAUUUGUUCUUAAUUGCUCCCUCCUGUAAAUGAUGUGGACUUUAGCUAAUGUGAUUAUAUAGUCAGGUGGAUAUAGACGGAAAAAAAAGACAAAUGGAUUAAAACAAAUUACAGGACUAGCAUCGAAGUUCGAAAUUUCAUUUAACAGCCAUCGACAAGGAUUUUGUUAUUUAGUCAUGUGCACCAGUUUCAGAUAAUUUCUUUAUUGAGGUUGAGCAUGUUUGUCUAAGCUAAAACUAAGCAAAACUUACUUUUAAGUUAUUUUUAUUUUCAAACACAUUUGGACGGUAUUCUUUUCUUACCUAUGAGUAAAAAAAAUUAUAUAUAUAUAUAUAUUUUUUUUUUUUUAACGAUAAUGUGGGUUGCUUUCAAAAUAAGCUACUUGCUUAUUUCCAACUUUGUCCAAUAAAAAUAUAUUUACCCUUUUAAUCUUAGCCAAACACAAACUUAGCUGAGUUAAAAGUAUAACGAUUAUUUUUCUUUAGUUUAGAAUGAUUAACCAUGUAAAUAGAUAGUACAUUCAUUUUAGACCAUGAUAAUAUGUUCAAUAAUGAAAACAUUGAGAAGGGGAAAUCGUUUCUUUAUAUCUUUUUGAAGUAAUCAUUUCACUCAAAUUUAUCCCCUUAUAGAAAAGUGGGAACAGGCAGAGGAGAUCUUCUUCUUCUGUUAUCUCAAGUGGUUAUCAUAACUCAAUUAAGGUUUCCUUGUCUGAAUGUGGAAACAAUUAGUAAAUCUAACAUCAAGACUUAAACUGAGAUAUAUGAGAUUCAAAUUCCCAGCCGUUUCGUUAUUAUCUUGAAGUGCUUUGUUUGUCAGCCCCUUUUGGGAGUUUUGUUAUCAAAAUUCAUUCUAUCCAUCUUAUUUUACUGAAUUCCAUUCUGUCAAUAUUGUGAAACAAAAAAAAAAUAAUAAAUAAAAGAAAUUAAUAAAAUAAACCUUAUAAUCUUUUCAAAAUAUCAUUUCAGGUUGUGGCUUUUGUAUUGGAGGCAUUUUUUGCUGAAAUGGAUCUUGAAACUUCAGAGAAAUGUGAAGAUGCGAUCGGCAAGGUUAGAAAAGAACUUUGGUUUCUAUUGUGAUCAAAGACACAAGUAGUAGUUUAGAUUAAAGAUCAAGAUUUCCCAUAAGUGGGAAAAUGGAAGGGCUCUAUGAUAUAGCUUUCAUAACCUUGAUUCCAAUCCUCAGCCCACAUCAGACAUGAUAAGGCAUCUCCAAAAAUAUAAGAUUAAAGGAUAAAACACUGUAGAAACAAUUUAAUGGGCCUUAACUUGAUAAAGAAAUUGUACUCUUAAACUGAGUUGGACUACUUAUCCUGAUACUGGCCAAACUAACAGCUCCAUGGACUCUGAAAUAUCAAAGCUUAAUAAAGAAUUUUGUGCUUUGAUUGAAAGGGGGCACUACUAUAAGUCUAUAUGUUAAAAUCAAAUAAUAUCUAUCAUCAUCUCAAAAGAAAUUUACCCUUCUUGUUCACCUCUUCAAGAUUCUUGUCAAUAUUCAGAUAUUAUAUUCUGCAUAAGUACUUAUAUACAGUAAAGUAAUGGUUGGUACAGUUGAUUUAUCAUCAUCAAGUUCCCCAGGGAAAAGAAUGACUCCUGUUUCCAGUAACAUUUCGUGUCUGUAGAAUGUCAUGUCAUGUAAUCAUAUUCAUUUUUGAUGAUUUUCCAAAUAAAAUGUUACCAUCUCGUUUUGAAUUAUGGGGUUGGUGGAGUAAACAAACUUUUGAACUUGAUUGAGCUUUGGGUUGCUGUUAUUUGGACAUAACUACAUUAAUGUAUGUGGGCUUGUUGUCAGCUUGUAGUUCAUGGAUUUGUAUAUAUGAUUUACCUUACAGCCAUUUGUACAUACUUUUGUAUCGAUAUUUUUGUACUACUAAAUAACUUGUAUUCCUUCACAAUCCAGGAUGAAAGUCAAAAGGAGCGACGUAAUGUAGGGUAUGUGUAACUGACUUCUCAGAAACUUUCCCUUUACGAAUUUAGAAUGAAGCUUGAUCGGAAUCAACAUUUUCCUUUUUUCCCUCAAAUUUUGCAGCACAAAGACGAGGAGUCAGAGAGUUGAUAUGCUUCUCCACCAUAUGUUGAGUGCUGAGCUGGGGAAGACACAGUUCUCCUCCCCGUAAACUUGGUCCAUUUCUUAUCCUUGCUAGUAAUUUCUUGAGAGCUCUUCAAUUUUGCUUUAUUUUUACUGUCAGAAUAUCUUGGGGAAUUCCUUAAGAUCUUCACGGCCUUUACUUGACCCUAAGAAAUAUUAAUCACCUCAUGUUCUUGGACACAGCUGAAUUUGAGGACACAUUGGAACUAUUUUUCUUCAUGUCAUCUUUAUCUAGAAUUACUCGCAUGCUAGGAUAAGCAGUUGAUGUACGUAAUGACAUGUUAGUGUACUCUACAGCCUAUUGAUUUUGGAACCACAACCACAUGACAGUUUUAAGUUAUUUGUGUCAUUUGAAUUAAGCAUGUGAAUAUCAUCUUGGGCCCACAUUCUUAUUCAUAAAAUGACUUUUCAUUAUCUAGCAUAUGAUUGGUAGAAAGUCAAAGUUAGCCUUGAUGGUGGAUCUGACAUUUAGUUGGCAUCCAUCGUUAGUGCACGUCACGUUUCAGGUCCACUAGGGGGAUUUGGGACGGGUUGUGAGCCUGACAUAUAAUAUAUUUUAAGUUGGCAACUGAAUAAAUUAUCACUGUUGGCUCUUAUUGAUGCUUUUGUUUUGAAAUUAUAAUAGGUUCCUCCAACAAGAACAAAGGAAAAAUUAAGCAUUCUGGAGAUUGUUUAGCAGUUUUAGAGAUUUCCAUCGUUGUUGGUCUCGCAUUUCAGAAUGAUAAAAUAUUGGUUCCACUACAUUUUCUGGACUAAUACAUUUAUUUUCUACCAGCAUUCUUUUCUUUAUAUCCUUUUGAAUUGUUGAAGAGAACCCUCCUUCCCUGCUCCAACUACUAUUCUCCUACUCAGAACUAUUAAUUUCAACUCGUUCUUUUGAUGGGCUACAAUUUUUUUGGGUUUCUUUUGGCAGUUUGUAUGUGCGUUAUGUGGAUUGAAAAUGUGAAGGAAUACAGUCUACUGAUUAUGAUUUUGAAUUGGAUUGAAAAUGUGAAUUAAUCUUGA